rnacentral:rRNA from 13 species
AGGGUGCAAGCGUUAAUCGGAAUUACUGGGCGUAAAGCGCGCGUAGGUGGUUUGAUAAGCGAGAUGUGAAAGCCCCGGGCUUAACCUGGGAACGGCAUUUCGAACUGUCAGGCUAGAGUAUGGUAGAGGGUAGUGGAAUUUCCUGUGUAGCGGUGAAAUGCGUAGAUAUAGGAAGGAACACCAGUGGCGAAGGCGGCUACCUGGACCAAUACUGACACUGAGGUGCGAAAGCGUGGGGAGCAAACAGGAUUAGAUACCC